rnacentral:rRNA from 1 species
AGUGAACGCUGGCGGUAGGCCUAACACAUGCAAGUCGAACGGCAGCACAGGAGAGCUUGCUCUCUGGGUGGCGAGUGGCGGACGGGUGAGGAAUACAUCGGAAUCUACUCUGUCGUGGGGGAUAACGUAGGGAAACUUACGCUAAUACCGCAUACGACCUACGGGUGAAAGCAGGGGACCUUCGGGCCUUGCGCGAUGGAAUGAGCCGAUGUCGGAUUAGCUAGUUGGCGGGGUAAAGGCCCACCAAGGCGACGAUCCGUAGCUGGUCUUAGAGGAUGAUCAGCCACACUGGAACUGAGACACGGUCCAGACUCCUACGGGAGGCAGAAGUGGGGAAUAUUGGACAAUGGGCGCAAGCCUGAUCCAGCCAUACCGCGUGGGUGAAGAAGGCCUUCGGGUUGUAAAGCCCUUUUGUUGGGAAAGAAAUCCAGCUGGCUAAUACCCGGUUGGGAUGACGGUACCCAAAGAAUAAGCACCGGCUAACUUCGUGCCAGCCGCCGCCGUAA